rnacentral:miRNA from 2 species
GUUGAAGGUUAAUUAGCAGAGU